GACCUCCGCCCUCAGCAAUGCAGGAAGCUGACUAUUAAGGGCAAACAAAAGUGUUAUUAAGACCCCUGCUGUCGCUGUGGAUUGUGCCCUCAUCCUGCGCCCUGGGGCUGCCUCCCAUGGACCUCCCCUUGGUGGGGACUGGUAGGGGAAGCCGUUGGAGGCCUUGGCUGUGAGGACCCCUAAGU
rfam:Otolemur garnettii contig010387, whole genome shotgun sequence.